CCCUUAGACGUUCUGGGCCGCACGCGCGCUACACUGACCAGUGCAACAAGCAUCCGUCCUUGGCCGACAGGCUCGGGCAAUCUUUGAACGCUGGUCGUGAUGGGGAUAGACUUUUGCAAUUUUUGGUCUUCAACGAGGAAUUCCUAGUAAACGCAAGUCAUCAACUUGCAUUGAUUACGUCCCUGCCCUUUGUACACACCGCCCGUCGCACCUACCGAUUGAAUGGUCCGGUGAAGCCUCCGGAUUGGCGCGCACCUCGGUACCGCCGAGAAGUUGGCUAAACCUUACCAUUUAGAGGAAGGUGAAGUCGUANCA
rnacentral:rRNA from 1 species